rnacentral:rRNA from 1 species
AUACGUAGGGGGCGAGCGUUGUCCCGAAUGACUGGGCGUAAAGCGCGUGUAGGCGGUUGAAUAAGGCAGGAGUGAAAGUCCCGGGUUCAAGCUGGGAACUGCGUUGGUUACUGUUCAACUUGAGUGCGGAAGGGGGAAGUGGAAUUCCCAGUGUAGCGGUGAAAUGCGUAGAGAUUGGGAGGAACACCAGUGGCGAAGGCGGCUUACUGGGUCGUAACUGACGCUGAGGCGCGAAAGCGUGGGGAGCGAACAGGAUUAGAUACCCUGGUAGUCCACGCGGUAAACGAUGAAUGCUAGGUGUUGCGGGUAUCGACCCCUGCAGUGCCGGAGUAAACACAAUAAGCAUUCCGCCUGGGGAGUACGGCCGCAAGGUUGAAACUCAAAGGAAUUGACGGGG